AUUUAAAUAGUUUAAUAAAAAUAUUGAUUUGUGGAAUCAAAGAUACGGCUGAGUUUUGAAUA
rnacentral:tRNA from 1 species